rnacentral:misc_RNA from 1 species
GUGAAUCAUCGAAUUUUUGAACGCAAAUUGCACUUCCUGGUAUUCCGGAGAGCAUGCCUGUUUGAGGGUCAGUUAAAAUAAAACUCGGUGUGGUUGCUGCCUUUCGUGGUGACGCACCGGAUUUGGGUCGUCUUGUCUUCCGUUUAGCGAACUUCCAUUUUGCAUGAAUCAUUCGGUACG